rnacentral:rRNA from 1 species
GGACCGAUGUAUCGGUCGUGCCUCGGUACGUACUGGUAUCUUCGGUUUCUCCCUUCUGACGAACCUUGAUGUCAUUAAUUUGGUGUCUUGGGGAAUCAGGACUGUUACUUUGAAAAAUUAGAGUGUUUAAAGCAGGCUCACGCUUGAAUACAUUAGCAUGGAAUAAUGAAAUAGGACGUUUGAUUCUAUUUUGUUGGUUUCUAGGAUCGACGUAAUGAUUAA